rnacentral:rRNA from 1 species
ACAUGUCGACAACAUAAUUUUAAUGCAUUGGAUCCCAUUAGAACUCUGCAGUUAAGCAUGCUCAGGCUAGAGUAGUACUAGGAUGGGUGACCACCCAAGAAGUCCUAGUGUUUUACAUGCC